UUUAAAUAGCUGCAGUAUUUUAACUGUACAAAGGUAGCAUAGUAAUUAGUCUUUUAAUUGAGGUCUAGAAUGAAUGGUUUGUCAAGAAAAUAACUUUAUUAAGUUAUAUAUUUUGAAUUUUAUUUUUAAGUUAAAAAGCUUAAAUGAUUAAUUGGGACGAUAAGACCCUAUAGAUCUUAAAAUUUUUGAAUUUUAUGAAUUUUUGGUUGGUUAAAUUUAAUUAGUUAAAAAUUUUUUGUUGGGGUGACAAUUAAAAUUUUAAAACUUUAAUGUUUUUAACCAUUUAUAAAUGAAACUAAGAUCUUGAAUUUUUGAUUUUUAGAAUAAGAUACCUUAGGGAUAACAGCACAAUAAUUUUGGAUAGUUCAUAUUGAAAAAUUUGAUUGUGACCUCGAUGUUGAAUUAAUUAAAGAUUAAUAAGUAGAAAUUUUAAGUCUAGGUCUGUUCGACCUUUAAAAAAUUACA
rnacentral:rRNA from 1 species